UACGUAGGUGGCAAGCGUUGUCCGGAUUUAUUGGGCGUAAAGGGAGCGCAGGUGGUUUCUUAAGUCUGAUGUGAAAGCCCACGGCUUAACCGUGGAGGGUCAUUGGAAACUGGGGAACUUGAGUGCAGAAGAGGAAAGUGGAAUUCCAAGUGUAGCGGUGGAAUGCGUAGAUAUCAGGAGGAACACCGGCGGCGAAGGCGGCUUGCUGGACGGCAACUGACGUUGAGGCUCGAAAGCGUGGGGAGCAAACAGGAUUAGAUACCCGGGUAGUCCCUGAGCGGG
rnacentral:rRNA from 1 species